GAUCGCUGGGCUAAUGAGCAGACGUAGAGGAAUGCGUUUCCUCUGUCUGGAAGAAGAGUCGACGGGGAAGAGAGGAGGAGUUGCAUGACGGCGGGUGGGUGGUGGGGGUGCCAGCUUUCACUGAGGACAUCUGGAAGCAUUUUAAGGUCCACACACACACACACACACACACACACACACACACACACACACACACACACACACACACACACACACACACACACACACACACACACACACACACACACACACACACACACACACACACACACACACACACACACACACAGCGCUGGACCAGCAGUUACAUCAUUUUCAGAUCUGCAAAAGCACCCUUCCCCCAACCUACCACAUGCGCACGCACGCACGCACGCACACGCACCCCUAAUUACAAACAGAGGGGGACAAGCACACGUGCACGUUUUCUUUCAUGGCUUUUAGGUGCGUUCCAAAAGUUGACGCACAAAUGAAAAAAAAACAUGCAUGAUCCGAAUGGCACAUGGUCAAGGAGACCCAUUUCGGUCAACCUCAGGCAAUCGUCAACAAGCCCACACACUCUUGGACACAGAAACACAACUACACACACACACACACACACACACACGUAACCCCCCCGUAACCCAGUACGAUUUCCUGCAAAUUCCAAAGUCAGAUCCCGGCUGGAACAUUUCAGCCCGCCUGCCACGUCAGUAUGCCUACACCGUCCUCCUCCUCGCCUGUGCUCUCCCUCUCUCUCCCUCCCUCACUCCCUCUCGCGCUCUUAUUCUGAAAUUAGCCAUAUUAGAACAAAAGAAUGCAGUUUGCAUGCAGGCCGACGGCUCUGGAUCGGGGAUAGUUGUGUGCGGCGGUAUGUAGCGAAUUCGCUAAUUUCUUUAUUUUAGCCGAGAGAGAGGAUAUGGCGGAGGUGCUACGGGAGAGAUUAAAAGGCGUCUUUUGGCACGAUUUCGGGGGUAGUGACCUGCGGCUCCGCCGAGCCCGCCAGCCCAUCCCCCCCCCCCCCCCCCCAGCGGCUGGCACUCAACCCUCGACCCCCCCCCCCCCCCCGCCUCCCACUCUCACCCCCCCAGCCUGCCCAGUGUUCAGACUACCUGUUCAUCAGGCUGCGUCUGAACAGUAGUCUGCACAUUGGUUAGGCUGGGCUGGGACAGACACGCUCCCGUCGGCCCGGUCCUCGCUCCGGCCCCCGCCAGCACGCCGAAACAAGCCCCCCCACACCAGACACCCCAGCGCCUCCUGCCGAGGAAAUGGCUGGACGACGUCAACGCGGAAUAUCGGCAACAUUCGCCAUUAUCCGCAAACCGCCGAAAAUGUGGAUGCGCAGGUUUGUUUAUUAUCUCAUUGUAGGAGUUCCAGGAGUUGGCGCCGCAAAACGGUGUGUCAGCAACACCCCCGCCCCCCCCCCCCCCUUACCUCCUCGUCUUUGUACCAGGAGAGGGACUCUGCGGUCAGCACGAACCAGUACUCCUUGGAGCCUCCCUUCAUGAUGCUGAUGUUGAGGGUGAGCCAGCCCUUGCGGAUCACCUGUACGGGGAGACAUGGGGGGGUGGGGGGGGCGAGGUGGUGGGGGGGGGGGGGGGGGGGGGGGGGAGAGAGGAGGGCGGCAUAGUUGCAGAAGAUGUAGCGGGGUUGAGUAAAAGAGAAUCAGACAGGAGCCCGUGUGGGCUUAAACGGGGCUAGUGGAUGUUCAGGCAGGCAGGGAGGGAGGGGAGAGGAUUUGACUGACUUCUUUCCUGCAAUGCUAAUAAAAACUGUACCCGCUUGACUUACCGCGUCUUUGGUGGAUGACUUCUGCCGUUUCAAUGCUAAUACAUAUUUCUACUCAAUCUAUGGGCCUGUACAUAUCUAACCAAACCAAAACCUAAACAUAUUCAACUUGACAAUGGACUAGACUAUCUUCAAUGGGGGGAGGGGAAUGAUUUCAAUUCUAAAAAUAAAAUGCAUACAUGUGGAAAAUAUGCGUAUCGGAGAAUACUCUAGCAGGGGAAACGGGUUUAGGAUGUUAAAUAGGGGAAAUUGGUUUAGGUAGUUAGUUCCUAUUCCUGUAAUGAGCAGAGUGAGUGAGCCCAGACCCUCCUUCAGUGGGGUCCAAAGAGCAAAGGUCGACGGAGGUAUGUUAGGGUCAGUGUGAUUAGUAACACUGCCAGUAUAAACAGACAGGCUAGGAGGGUUGAUAAGAGACUCGGCUUUACAGGGACCGUUUGAACAGUCAGGUUAGUGAAGUUGGUAAAAGACUCGGCUGUACAUUCACAUUAUAAACAGUCAGGUGAGGGAGGGUUGAUAAGAGACUAAGCUUUACAGUCACCGUUUAAACAGUCAGGUUAGUGAAGUUGGUAAAAGACUAGGCUGUGCACAGGUAGUAUAAACAGUCAGGUUGGGGAGGUUGGUAAAAGACAAGGGUUGACAUUCACACUAUAAACAGCCAGGUUAGUGAAUUUGGUAAAAGACAAGGGUGUACACUGUCACUGACAGUAAAAACUGUAAGGUUAGCAGUUAGUACACGACUAGGCUGUGCACAGGUAGUAUAAACAGUCUGGUUAGCAGAGUUAGUAAAAGACUAGGCUGUGCACAGGUAGUAUAAACAGUCCGGUUAGCAGAGUUAGUAAAAGACUAGGCUGUGCACAGGUAGUAUAAACAGUCCGGUUAGCAGAAUUAGUCAAAGACUAGGCUGUAAACAGCUAGUAUAAACAGCCAGGUUAGCAGAGUUAGUAAGAGACCAGGCUGUCCCCUGCCAGUAAACAGAGACAGGUGAUGGGAGAGGGGUUAACGGGUUCAGACACACAUGGAGGUGUCUGCGCACGGCGGUCGAAAAAACCUUGGCUGAACACAAAAGGGAAAUGAUGAUAAUAACCAUGAUGAGAGGAGAGGGGAGGGGAGGCGAGGACAGAGGACGGCUGAAAGUGGUAAGUAACACAGAGGUAGGGUGAUCGCGGAUCCCAGAUGGAGCAGGAGCCUGACGGAAGGCCGAGAGGGAACGGGGUUCGAGUGGAGAGAACGGGAGGAGAGGGAAGGGGCGAGCCCAGGCUGAGAGGCCGGGUGGAGAGGCACUCUCCCUGGGUGGGUUGGAGGAGAGUGUGCCUCUCCUCGCCAUGAUCCCCCCCCCCCCCCCCUCCAUUUUGUCAUGUAGACCGCGGCUGAUCAGCGGCUAAAAGCACUAACUGGAAAGUAUGCUCUCUUGCUGUAGAGCCUAAGAGCUACACAUUCUUUGUUUCUUUUUUUUAUUAUUUUUUUAUCAACCCUCCACGAUUCCCUCUCCAUCAGACAGAGGAACGGACUGAGUUAUAGGGGAGGAGAGGAGGGGGUGGGGGGGGGGGGGAGGAUUCAGUGGUUAAAAGGUUGCCAACAUAAACAAGGGAGAGGAGGAGUAAAUGAGCUGUUGCCUUGGCGGGGAAAUGCCUCAAAGCUCUCGGCAAAGGGGAGAAAAACAUUUCCAAAAGCCCAGGUUUUUUUUUUUUUUUUUUUAAGUCAUUUGUUAAUGUGAAGAAUGUCGAAUGGGCCCGGUCAAAGAGUUACUGAAAUGGCAGUGGUGUUGUUAAGCUUUGUUUCUAAGAGCUAAAACUAUGGUAUGUAAAUAAUGGGAAGAUGGACUGCGGCUUCUUAAGCAAUGCAGUUAUGUAAUGCUAGAGCACAUGCUCAGUGAUAUAUUUCAUGGGUUCAAUUAGAGAAUGUAAAGUGAAAUUUGGAAAAGAAAAUGUGCUUCAUCAGAAAAUCUGGUUAAUUAUAUUGUACUAAAUACAAUUAUUCUUUAAAAUUUGGGGCUGAAACUAUAUUGACAUUUGUGCCAAUUGUUGCUUAAUUUUAUUGUCUCCCUCCACCAUGAAUGGGGCCUCAUUUAGUGUUUGAAACCAGGUUUACUAAAAACAGCUACUUUAGAGUCAAUGUCUAUAAAUCACAUUGUGACGUGUGAAAAAGCUGUUUUUUUCACUGUUACCUUAUCACUCAAAAAUAGCUGUGAAAGUCUGAUGAUAAGACUUGUCAGUUUGUUAACAACCAAAACCACUCAUCCCAUUGAAUUUGAAGAUACUUAGGCUGCCAAAGGUCGCCUACUUUUACCUGAUGAACGAAAGCUAAAAUGAGGCCCCUAGUUUUGAUGUGUUAACGCAGAGAGAUCAACAAUUAACCCUGAAGUAUUCAAGAUCGAAGAAAUAAAAAAAUAAUCAAAUCAGAAAACAUUAAUAAUUGGGAUUUAUAAGAGGCCAAGACCCUCAUGUUUUUUCGUCCCAGCAGAGUCGGAGCUUUGGGAUGAUUUUCCACAAGGCAAACUGUAUUCGGCGGCCAUGCCUGAGGCAGCAGUGCUUUGAACCCAUACACAAGAGAACUGAUGCAAGUCCACGGCACUGGCACAUGAAUACUGAGCAGGUUUUCCGGAACAUGCAGAAAUUGUACACAUUAAGACAUUCAGAUAGCAAAUUAAAAACUGUGCCUUUGGUUCCGGAAGUAGCAGUAGGGAGUUAGUAGCAGUGUUGGACGUUCAGACGAAGACAAUUACUGUCUCGUUGAAAAUAAUGCAAAGAAUUACAAAAAAUAACCCUUUUUGUCGUGCUAUGGCCGGGCUAACAGCUGCCAAUUACCGGCGGCUGUUUGCGAGGA